rnacentral:rRNA from 1 species
GACGAACGCUGGCGGCGUGCUUAACACAUGCAAGUCGAACGGAAAGGCCCUGCUUUUGUGGGGUGCUCGAGUGGCGAACGGGUGAGUAACACGUGAGUAACCUGCCCUUGACUUUGGGAUAACUUCAGGAAACUGGGGCUAAUACCGGAUAGGAGCUCCUGCUGCAUGGUGGGGGUUGGAAAGUUUCGGCGGUUGGGGAUGGGCUCGCGGCUUAUCAGCUUGUUGGUGGGGUAGUGGCUUACCAAGGCUUUGACGGGUAGCCGGCCUGAGAGGGUGACCGGCCACAUUGGGACUGAGAUACGGCCCAGACUCCUACGGGAGGCAGCAGUGGGGAAUAUUGCACAAUGGGCGGAAGCCUGAUGCAGCAACGCCGCGUGCGGGAUGACGGCCUUCGGGUUGUAAACCGCUUUCGCCUGUGACAAAGCGUGAGUGACGGUAAUGGGUAAAGAAGCACCGGCUAACUACGUG